CCGAGCAGCCGGGGUGGUAGCGGUACCUUGAACCAACAAUCCGCUAUAGUUGGGGUGAUGCUUCGUAGAGGGCUUGUCUUGCGCAAUGGAAAUCUAUGAACCGUGUCAGGGUGGGAACACAGCAGCACUAAGUAGAAGCUUUCAUGUGACGCGAGGCAGCCUGGAGGGAGUUAACUGUGGAGGUAACGUCUG
rnacentral:SRP_RNA from 1 species